ensembl:lncRNA
GUUGGGUGGGAGCCCUGAAGAGCCUGUGGAAAGGAAGAGUCUCUAGCUAGGAGCCAGGGCUGCCCUGGCCAGGAAAGACCUGUGGCUGCAGGGAGAGAAAGGAGCUGGACCCUCUGGCUUGUUUUGGGAAGCCACCCCGGGCAGAGGCCCUGACUUUGCACUGACAACAACCCCACCCCAAUCUGGGCCAAGCCCCCCAUGUCCCCCUGAGACGACAGUCUCCCCAGAGAAGUAUGCUAGCCGGGUGGGUUUGGAUCCCUUGUUUUUGUACCCUGAUUUCCAAAGUCUCCCCAAAAGAAGAGCUGGCCCAGAAACACAUCAGCCUGUCCCAGCAAGGACUGGAGGGGCAGGUUUAUUGAGCCUCUCCCCCCUCCACACACACACACACACAGUGCUUCCCAAGAGAGACUCCAAACAAGCCCUGGGACCUUCUUCACAGACUGCCAACUGGCUGUGAAGCCCCAAAUCAGGAGAUGGUAGAAGAGAAGGUGGUCUCCAGGUUGUGAGAUGCCCCACACUCCCCUCCCCCGCCCAGGCAUACCCGUGGCAUCGCUUGGGAAGGAGACCCCCAGAAAAUCAGCAGGAGCCCUGGGAGCAACGGGAAACAGUUUGGGGCCCCCAGCCCCACUGAGGCGGGCAUGGGAAGGGGGCCCGUAUUUCUUUCACAGCGGCCAUCACUGGUAUCACAUUUCCCUGGCCAGUCCAGCUGGGCUACCAUGUUGGGCUCCAAGAUGCCCCGUCCAGCAAAGAGGAGAAGGUGGCACGAGACGAGGCCCCUGCCCCCAAUGCCCAACCCGGGGCUCUGCCAGACCAGCAGUUCUGGCCGAGGGCGGGUGCAGGGCUGGCGGGUGAAUUUCCUAACCCCAGCAGAGGCGACCGCACGGCAAACACAGCAAAUGGGGGCCGGAGGGACGGAAGCCCCCCUGGCCUGGCCCGGCCCCUCCCAAACCCCCCUCCGCAGAACUUUGACCGCGCAGCCCCGGGGGGGGGGAUGGAGGAGGGUAUAAAGGGGGAGCUGCGGCCGCCCCUUCGCCAGUCCGGACAGCUCCUCGGGGAAGCCCAGCCAGAAGGACCCCCGAGGGAAGAUGAGAGUCCCGCUUCUGCUGCUGCUGGCGCUGCUGGCGCUGCUGGCCACCGUUGCACGCGCGGAGGAAGACCAGGAGACGCCGAGGAGCCGUUUCCAGGGCCUUGUCCAGAAGGCACAAGAGCGUGUCGCCACUUUCCAAACAACGGCCGUUUACCAGCAAAUGAGGUGAGUCUGGGGGGGGGGGCUCUCUGGCAUUUUGCGGGUGAGGAGGAGAACGCAGGCGCUGCACGGCCCUCGGGGGCUACUCCUCCUGUGAGCGAUGUGGCUGGGCAUGAAGUCCCCGGAGGGCAGAGCUGGCUGCUGGAGAGCCAGUCGUGGAUCACGUUGCCUGUGUGGCUUCCAGAGAACCGGGGCGCCUGUCCCUGCACCUCCAGGCUGCCCCCCAAUUGGUCAAGACUGUGACCGGAUUCUCGUUUUGUAGAAAGCCUUGCUUUGGCCAGCAAGGGCAAUCGGCUGGCUGACCGUGUAAAUUCUGCUCCUAGCCCCUGAAUCUUUGCAGCUGCAGAGACGCCCUUUGGGCUCAGGGCGCAUCCAGCCCAACAGGGCCUCUCAUGGGAGGCGGGGGAUUCUGUUCCCUGAACUCGCUUUUCUCCCCUUCUCACCCCACCUUAACUCUCUCCAGGGAACUGGUAGAGUCUAGCAUUGAACGCACCCUGAAAGCGAUUGAACAACUAAAGGCUCAAGUUGGAAACUUGCUGGAGAGAAAUCCAGCAUGAGUCUGGAGCCCCAUUCCACACCCAGGAGCCCAACGGAGCAAUGGCCACCCUAGCCGUCCUCAGGAGCAGGGGCAGCUCUCCCUACUCCUGGGAUCCCAGCUCUUCUACUCCCCCCCCAAGACCCCUCCCCCUUUCUGGCUUCUCUCUCGUGUGGAAUUUUCCUCAUUAAAACUAGUGGAACAGUUGCAUGCUUGGCUUUCU